CACACAGCCCGGGUGGCCGGCCCAAAAAGGGAGGUAACACCCAGGGAUUCGUACAUUAGAUGAAAUGGGAGAAUGCCUAUUAUCACUUCCUCCCAUUCUCUGUUUAUCAUUCCGUCCUUUGUCCUAAUUUUCUCUUUCUCAAUCGGCGUUCUCUCUCUCUCUCUCUUCGGUUUGCUGCAACACCAAGAGAGACAGAAAGAGACCAAGAGAGAGACAUCUGAUGCUGAGAAAACUCCCCUUCCACGUGUUCAUCUUCCACAAUGGUGACCCACUGGAGGCCCAACGCGCGCUCCGGAGAUGGUGACGAUAUUGGGGUUCAGUAGGUGGUGGCUCAAGUAAGGUUGUUUGUUUAAAUGCCGAACGGUGAUGGGUUAUUUUUCAGAAAAUGUUGGGUUUGAUUUUGUUCGAUUUCUGGAGGAAAUACCGAUUGGUGUUUGACAUUCCUUUGGGAUUUCAUGGGUUGCACCUUCAAGGAAGCACCAAUUAGUAUUCAAGUUGGCCUUUUGGCUUUUGAUUCUCACAUUUACGUUGUUAAUAGAAAUUGAGAAAAAGAAACAAGCACUGAAGAAUGAAGUUAGUUGGAUAUGUGUUAGACAUUCUUACUGCUAGGCGACUGUUGACGUAGUCCCUUUGGUGCUCUCAGCUGCUCUGCUGCUGAUUUGGUUGUAUUUAUUUUUCAGUUGUUAAUGAUAAAAGAUACUCAUUCAUCAAAAAAGCUCUGUUAUUUUUCAGUUGUUAAUGACUAAGAUAGCUCUGUUAAAUAUGGUGCCAUUUAUAAAAAAGCAUGACUUUUGCAUUUAGAAAUGCAAAUUUACUCUCCAAAAA